AUAUCAAUAAGCGGAGGAAAAGAAACCAACAGGGACUGCACAGUAGCGGCGAGCGAAGCUGCACAAGCUCAGGGUUGGAAUCUGCGGCAACGCAGAAUUGUAGUCUAGAGACGGGCGAAACGGGGUGUGGUGGGUUGCGCAAGUCCCUUGGAAGAGGGCGCCGGAGAGGGUGACAGCCCCGUGGCGCACACAGCACGUCCCGACACGGCCGUUCGAAGAGUCGGGCUGUUUGAGAUCGCAGCCCCAAGCGGGAGGUAAAUUUCUUCCAAAGCUAAGUACGGGCGAGAGACCGAUAGCGCACAAGUA
rnacentral:rRNA from 1 species